GACGAACGCUGGCGGCGUGCUUAACACAUGCAAGUCGAACGGAAAGGCCCUGCUUUUGUGGGGUGCUCGAGUGGCGAACGGGUGAGUAACACGUGAGUAACCUGCCCUUGACUUUGGGAUAAUUUCAGGAAACUGGGGCUAAUACCGGCUAGGAGCUCCUGCUGAAUGGUGGGGGUUGGAAAGUUUCGGCGGUUGGGGAUGGACUCGCGGCUUAUCAGCUUGUUGGUGGGGUAGUGGCUUACCAAGGCUUUGACGGGUAGCCGGCCUGAGUGGGUGACCGGCCACAUUGGGACUGAGAUACGGCCCAGACUCCUACGGGAGGCAGCAGUGGGGAAUAUUGCACAAUGGGCGGAAGCCUGAUGCAGCAACGCCGCGUGCGGGAUGACGGCCUUCGGGUUGUAAACCGCUUUCGCCUGUGACGAAGCGUGAGUGACGGUAAUGGGUAAAGAAGCACCGGCUAACUACGUG
rnacentral:rRNA from 1 species